rnacentral:lncRNA from 1 species
ACUUCCGGGGUCGCAAAGUUUUUGACGCUAGAUGUGUUUUGUGAGUUUUAGCCAUUCAAGAAAAUAGUAAAGCUGAGGCUUGAGGAAACUUUAGGCAGUUUGCCCAGCUGUAUAAAGAGUGAGAUGAUGAGUUUGGGCACUCCUUGCGCAUCUAUGUGCCCAGCCCUCAAAAUAAUGGAACAACAACAAAAACCGUGCCUGGAUUAGUUUACGUUUUACUUGAGGGAAACCUAAAAUGAGCAUACAAAUAAAUUAUGGUGAGCUACAGAGUAAGACAUGGUAUGGAAAAAAAAUAGAACAGGAUAAAAGAAGAUGAAGAGACAUUCAUCUUUUUGAGACGGAGCCUUGCUUUAAUGCCCAGGCUGGAGUGCAGUGGCACGAUCUCCGAUCACUGCAAACUCCUCCUCCUGAGUAGCUGGGACUACAAACACGUGCCACCAUGCCCGGCUAAUUUUUGUAUUUUUGCAGAGAUGGAGUUUCACCAUGUUGGCCAGGCUGGUCUUGUACUCUUGAUUUCAGGUGAUCUGUCCGCCCUGGACUCCCAAAGUACGUUGCAAUUUUAAAUAGGAUUCUCAGAGUAGGCUUCAUUGAAAACGUUACAUUGAGCCAAGGUUUGAAGGAGGUAAUGGGCUAAACUAGUUAUCUGAGGGAAGAGCUGUUAAUCUGAGAAAAGCUGGUUAUCAAGGAGAAAAGCUGUCCUGGCAAAGCAAACAGCCAGCUCCAAUGCUCCUAGUCAGUAGCAAGCCAGGAAAGGCAAGAAGUGUUGAGAUUGGACAGGUGGUGUAGAGUUUUGUAAGGACUUUGGCUUUUAUUUUAUGUGAGAUGAAGAUCUCUUAUAGAAUUUUGAGGAAAAGAAUGGUAUGAUCUUAACAUCUUAAAAGUAUCAGGCUGGUGCAGUGGCCCAUGCCUGUAAUUUUAGCACUUUGGGAGGCCAAGGCAGGAGGAUUGCUUGAGCCUGGGAGUUCAAGACCAGCUUUGGCAACACUGUGAGACCCCAUGUCUACAAAAAGUAAAAAAAUAUAUAUAUCUGUUUGGGCAUGGUGUACAUCUGUGGUCCCAGCUACUCAGGAGGCUGAGGCAGUAGGAUCCAUUGAGCCUGGAAGGCUAGGUUGCAAUGAGCCAUGUUGGUGCCACUGCAUUCCAGCCUGGGUGAGAGGGUGAGACCCUCUCAAAAAAAUAAAUAAAAAUAAAGUAAAAGCGUCAUUCAGAAUCUUCUUUUGAGAAGAGCCUAUGCAGGGGCAGGGUGUGUGGAAGAAGGGAAGAAAUGAUAGUGGCCUGAACCAGGGUAAGUCUUGUGUAGGUGGUUGAGAAGUGAUUCCUCUGGAAGGUAAAGUUACUGAUGGAACUGAAGGGAGGACAUGAAAGAGUCAAGGAUGACUCCAAGACUUUCGACCUGAGUGAUUCAAAGGAUGGAGUUACCAUCAGGUGAAAUGCGGGAAAGUUCAGAUGGAACAAAUCUGAGAGAAAGCUGAGCUCUGGGCCAUAUGGAUCCUUUAAAAGAGACAGAUGCAUGAAGUUUGGAGCAGUGAAUAGGCAAAGGAUUUGCUCUGUACCUGACUGCAUUAUGAAACACCUAUUUGCCUGACCCACCCCUCCUCAGGCUGCACCACCCAGGACACUAUGAAAAUGAAGUUGCAACUGACUGGAAGUCAGCAGUACUACACCGGGUCCAGAUGAACGUAAACCAACAUGGAACCCCAAGGCCAUGCUCUAGAGGGUCAGCUCUGAACCUCCUUGAAAAUGAUGAGGUGGAGUUUGUCCGAACUGGCUAUGGGAAGGAAAUGGUAAAAGUUCUCCAUAUUCAGUGAGAUGGAAAAUAUCACAGCAUUAAAGAGGUGGCAACUUCAGUGCAACUUACUCUAAGUUCCAAAAAAGAUUACCUGCAUGGAGAUAAUUCAGACAUCAUCCCUACAGACACCAUCAAGAACACAGUUCAUGUCUUGGCAAAGUUUAAAGAAAAUGGAGUUAAGCAUGUCCAUGCAUUUAUUCACACUCCCACUGGAACACACUUCUGUGAAGUUGAACAGCUGAGAAGUGGACCCCAAGUCAUUCAUUCUGGAAUCAAAGACCUCAAGGUCUUGAAAACAACACAGUCUGGAUUUGAAGGUUUCAUCAAGGACCAGUUCACUACCCUCCCUGAGGUGAAGGACUGAUGCUUUGCCACCCAAGUGUACUGCAAGUGGCGCUACCACCAGUGCAGGGAUGUGGACUUCAAGGCUACCUGGGACACCAUUCGGGACCUUGUCAUGGAGAAAUCUGCUGGGCCCUAUGACAAAGGUGAAUACUUGACCUCUGUGCAGAAGACCCUCUGUGAUAUCCAGGUGCUCUCCCUGAGCCGAGUUCCUGCGAUAGAAGAUAUGGAAAUCAGCCUGCCAAACAUUCACUACUUCAACAUAGACAUGUCCAAAAUGGGUCUGAUCAACAAGGAAGAGGAAAUUGACUCAUCUCUCAACUAUUGCCAGAAUAAUAAGGCAUUACCAUGCUUGAAGUAACUUUAGUGGAGGACAUACACAUUUUCCUGUUUAGUCUUGCUGCCAUUAGACAAUCCAUAUGGAAAAAUUACUGGUACAGUCAAGAGGAAGUUGUCUUCAAGACUGUGACAUUGUGGCCACCAAUAGGAGUCCACUCUCAGCUGAGGAAUUCCUUAAGUCAUUUGUGAUGCUGGAGAUGAUAGCAUGUAGCCAUGCAAAAUUUCACACUAGUAUAUUGAUUUAUAGUGUUCACUUUCCUCCAAUAUGAAACAGUUUAUUUCUUCUACACCUAGCUCAGCAAGGCAUUCUGUGGAUUACCUUAUUAGUAAUUAUAACAGGCUUUAUGGCUAUAAUUUACUUUAAAAAUGCUGAGCAGUAUUAGAACAGUUAUAAAUCAAUAUUUCUUUUUGGUUAUCUUAUGCCUUCCUAUCUUGGAGAAGCUUUAGAAUCAAUUCAUUAAGAAAAUAAUCAUGAAUUAAUGAGUGUGUCACAUCAAUUAAUUUGUGCACAGGUUUAAGAAACAAAUAUUGUUUUCAUCCUACUGAUGCUUCUAAGUAAUGCAGAAAAUGAAAUAAAAUUAUAUUGAAAAAUAUCACCAUUGUUACUUCAUUUGACUGAAUAUUUGAUUUUAAGAAUGCUCUAGCAUAUGUAUCAUUGAUUAUUUAUUUCCACUCUGAUAGUACUUCUGUGAUCUUAAUGUUUGAUUUUAAACUUUUUCAAUCCUUAGAGAAUAUUUAGUACAUAUGAGGGUACUGAAAAAGAGUAGAAAUUUUCUUUGAAUAAUGCAUCCCUUAUGUGCACAAAACGUCACAUUUAAUAAAUGUUAAGCCAAUAUACAGAUGGGUGGAUGUACAUUUAGAAAGAAGACUAGAGAGUAUAGAUGUGAAAAUAUCAGCAAUGACAAUUUCUGGAUGAUGAGAUUAUGAGUGAUUUUCAUUUUUCACCAUGUACUUUUCUGAAUCUUCCAAAUAUGAACAAUUAUUCCUUUUAUAGCCAGAGAAACAAAUAUAGUUGAUGAUUUAAAGAUGUUUACAGAUUUGAGGGCUGAUUAUAUCAAUUGACUAACACUACCAUUGUAUACAUGUAAUAAAGCUUCACAAAUUACAGCUUUAGAAACCCAUGAUGAAAACUUGUCCACGUUAACAUUCUGGGUAACCUUUUCCAUUUUAAAAAAUCUUCAUUUAAAAAAUAAAAUCAAAUCUCCAUUUUUAAGAAUUGCUUUCAUAUGAGCCCUUAGUAUUAUUUGUUAAUACGGCUUCAUUCACCUUUAUGAUACUGCUACUUAAGGUUGCAUGGUAUAGUGGUUAAUUGCACACUCAUUUAAAUCCUGGCUCCACCUCUCAGUAAAUAUAAGACAAGUUUCUUCAUCUGUAAAAUGGAGGUGAAAAGAGAACCUACCUUAUAGGUCUUUUGAGGAUUAAAUGGGUUAAUGCUUGUAAAGUGCUAUGGUAGUAUUUGGCCUGACACAGAAAUUUCAAUAUACGUGUGUGUUGAAUGUAAUAAAUGUCCUGUCUUCUUUUCGUUUGUUAUUAGGCCCACAUAGAAAAGCUGUCAUUGGCCUCCGGGUCAGGCAAGAGAUGGGAGGUGUUCAGAGCAGCAAACCCUACAAGAUGUUGGAGGCCAUUCACAAGCAAGCGCCUGCUUGGAAAAUAACGUGGGAUAAGAACAAUGAAAUAAUUUGAUGAGGAAAGUGUUGUGCUACAUUGAAUACUCACGUCACAAAAUGUGCUUCUACAUUAUGUAACUUACAUGGUCAAAUGACUGGUACAUUUUAUUCCUGUGCUAAUUUGUCAAUUCUGUUCCAAGAGGAAAGAGUCUAACAUGACUUUUCAAAAACAAAACAAGACAAAACAAAACAAAAACCCCGACUUAAUUAGGCCUUUCUUACUUGAUGUUCUCUUAUUCUUGUAAGUUUUAGAAACACUGUAUUUGCUUCAGAGAAGAAACCCAUGUUAGAGCAGAAUCCUUAGAAAUUGUGGCCCAUUUAUACAUAUGUGCAUUUUGCUUCUCCUUAGCUCUUAGCACAUUUACUGCAAUAGAUUGCAAAUGAGCUAUUGGAUGUUAUAUCCCAGGUAUGUGGCAGGAAAGCCUGUAGUAUGUGAAAUUUUCAAGGACAAAGUUCCUGUUUUGUGAAGGAUGUUUCCUUCUUAGAAUUGUGAACGAUGGGGCUGAAAACCAGCUUUGGGUUUCACCUGUUCCUUUCAGUUCGGCAGACAGGCAGGCAGAACUGAACUGUAAACACUUGUGAGGCAAUUUGUUUUAAAAACACUUCAUGAUUUUGCUAGGAAGCCUCCAGGGAUUCAGUUCCAGUUCUCUGGGAAGCAGAGCUGCCCUUACAACACUCUUCUGUCUCCUCACUCACUCUCUCUGCUUACCCCAACCCUAUCUCAAGUACUUUCAUGGAGGAAUCGUGCAAGUAGUUCCAAGCCCACGUGCUGCCGGGGAGGCAGUUUCCAUGGCAUUCAAUGGAGCAGGCUGUCAUGUGGGGCUUGUGGUUUUGGUAGCCAAGAUUCUGCCUGAGGUUUGUUUCAUAUUCUUUAAAUUUCAUCUCAUAAUUUUCAUAGUGAUAGACUCAGAAAAUAUAUCUCCUUCCUUUUCCUUUUCCUUUUUAGAGUCAGACUUAAGUUCAUACCAUUCCUUAUUUUUAGACACCAAUGUUUUCCCUUUCUUUUUUCUACCCCAAUAUAGAAGCGUAAUAAGUCUUUUGAGGCAGCAUUUUAUUGAUUUGUCAUUGUAACAGAAUUUACCUUCUUCAAUACCGGCAGAUUUUAACUAGAGAAAUUUGAAAUUUUCCUAACCUCUUUAUACUUUGUCCAGAAGGAGCGUUUCCUUUCCUCCGGACUCUGAGCUGUGUGGAGUUGGCCCUUUGCAGUCGCCUUUGCUAGACCUUUACGAGUUCUGCUUUCUUGUCUGAACUCAUGAGGAAGGCAAAGCUUCUUUCCCAAAGAGAUUGACUUGAAGCCUUCUAACCAGACACACACAGGACCUUCCGGCUUCCGCAUACUUGAAACUUAUUCUCUGUAUGUUUCACAGUCUUAGCACUUGUUUCUCUUAGAGCUUAGCUACCUGUCAUUCUUCCAUUUGCCCAGGCUCCCUCUCAGAAAUUCUUAGUUUUGUGGAGCCUAUCAAGACCCUAUUGAGAAUAUGAUGGCUAUGGACCUUCUUCCCAGAAAAAUGCUCAUUCAUGUCUCUACAGGUGCCUCUACCUCUGCUAAGGAAGUAGUUCACACAUUAUCUUUAAAGUAUAAAGGAUUCCAACAGAAAUUUGCCACAUGAGGAAUAUAUUCAAUCAAACUUAGAAAGUAUACUGCUCACCUUUACAUAAGAAAGAAAUAAACGUAGUAUUAGUUUCCUGAGGCUGCCAUAACAAAUUACCAUAAACUUGGUGGUGUAAAACAAUAGAGAUUUAUUCCCUCAUAGUUCUGGAGGCCAGAGUCCAAAAUCAAGGUGUGGGCCGGGUGCUACUUCCAAAGACUCCAGGGGAGAUUCUGUUUCUGCCUCUUCCAGCCUCUCAUGCCUUCAGGGGUUCCUUGACUCACAGCUGCAUCACUCUAGUCUCUGCCUCCAUGGCCGCAUUGCUUCCUCCUUUUUCUGUCUGGCAGGUUUUCCCUGUAUGACUCUUAUAAGGACACUGGUCACUAGAUUUGGGGCCCACCUGGAUAACCUUAAGACAAGAUCCUCAAGAUCCUUAAUGACAUCUGCAAAGAUCUUUUUUCCACGUAAGGUCACAUUUGCAGGUUCUGACAGUGAAGGCAUGGUCUCUGUUUUGAGACCCAUUCAACCCAAUACACAAAGUAAGAGGUCAGUGAGCUGUUUAAGGGCAGCUCUUCUGGUGUAUGUGGAUCUUAGCUAUACAUAAGCUCCUCUUCCCUUCAGAUCUGGGGGAUGGUGCCAUACCCCUCCUGGUUUGAUCACUUGUCACAUAGAUUUUUAUAAAAGGGUAAAGAGCACGGACUUUGGAUGCAGAUAGUACUAAGGUUUAGACUGGGCUCCACCAAUUUCUAGUUGUGUGAUCUCGAGCAAGUAAUCUCUAAGCUUAAGCUCUCUUGUUUAUGAAAUGGGAAUAAUAAUAACCCCUACCUCACAGCACAGGGUAGUGAAGCAUUAACUGAGAUUAGAGCUAGAAUGCCUUUGGCUGCAAGUAACUGAAUACCUAAGAGUGUCUUAAACAGAAAGGACAUCAUGCUUGCUUCAGAAGUUUAAGAAGUAGGCUAUCCCAGGAUGGGAUGGCUAAUUCAGUCAUGGCAUCAGGACUCAGGCUCAUUCCACCCUUUGCCCUGCUAUCCUCAGUAUAUGGUAAUGUUUUCUCUAUGGCCACAAAAUGGGGGAUAAAGCUCCUGUUAAAGAUGCUCUGGUGCCUUCUGCAUGACAAUCUCAGGGUCUUACUGUAUUUUUCAUGGGGAUGCUGACCUGUGAUACUAAGAGUUCCAGGAAGGAGACUCGAAAAUGGGAUUUUGGAGCUGGAUCACCCGCUGGCUCACUAGCAAUGAGCCUUUGUAAUACUGUAAUCACACAAUUGUUAAAACCGUCUGCAGAGGUGAAUUGGGAUAAGAUACUGGAGAAAGGAAUACAUUGGCAGGGGCAAAAUCUCAAAUGCUUGAGAGGUGUGGGGGAAACGGUUAUUAUAAGCACUAUGGAAUUUGAAUGGGUGUCACUGGGGACCAUUAGUAAAGAAAGGCAAUGAAAAAUUGAGGAUGAUUAAUAACUAAUAUAAAGUGAGCAUGAAAGCAAGAGGGCCUCCUUGGCAACAUAUAAAGACAGUAUACAUCUAGAUGGCAGAAAAAGCUUAGGAGACCCAGGUCUUAAUUAUUAGAAUAGCAGAGCUCCAAGGAAAAUUGAAUUCUCCACCCUUGACAGGUCUGUCACACUAAGGUCAGGGUCCAGAUUGAUGCACUUGAAAUCUUGAAUCCUCAGCUUUACCUGAAUUCUCUGUGCCUGCAGAACUGGCCUAUUUCUCCUUGUUAAAAGCUAGCACUGCCCCUCUUGCUUGAAGACAAUGCAGAAGCUUCUGCCUACAAGGAAACACAUGCCUCCUUGUGAUAUAUCCCCACCUCCUGACCACCAGAUCUAUAAAUAGGGUAAGUCACAUCGUACACCAGCUAGACAUAUGCUGGGCUUGUUAAGGAAAGAAGGAGACCACAGGCCAAAAGAGUGGCAAAGGCCCAGCUAAUAUAUAUAAAAGCUGGAAGAUUAUACAUGGGUGCUGGAUAAAGCCCAUCUAAUUUUCAAAUCAAGAAGCAAGAAGAGAAGCAGUUUCCAUUCACAUGGAUGGACAGUUGCAUACAUUUAUGGUCUUGCCCCAGGAUGACAUUAAAUUUUCUAGCCUUUGUAUAUGGGACCACGAUCAUCAGGACAUUCCCUGGGACAUUAAAUUGGUCCAUUAUACCCAUGAGACUAUGUUAAUUGGACUGAAUGACCAAGAAGUGACACUUGUACUCUGGAGAAUGGUAGAUAAACCCAUCAAAGGCCCACCACAUUAGUGACAUUUUUAGCAGUCUGGUGGUCUAGGACAAGGAUUGGUGAAAUCUGUCCCACCACUUGUUUUUGUAAAUAAAGUUUUAUUGGAAUACAGCCA